rnacentral:lncRNA from 1 species
CCUUUGAGGGGGGUGUUAGUUCACAGAUGGGGGAGGGGAGGCCCAGGGAGGUUAAGUAUCUAUUGCCUGCAGUCGGAGGCAGGAAGAGGACCCAGGUGUGCCAGGCACCUACCCUCAGCUGUCAUGCCCACGACCUCUCCCACAUUCAGCCUGUUUAUUGGCCCCGUGGCCCUCACGGGAAGCCUGAGGGCCCCUGGGGCCUGUGCCCACCGCCCUCCCCUGCAGGCCCCAUCUACAUCAUCACCGAGUACUGCCGCUAUGGCGACCUGGUGGACUACCUGCACCGCAACAAGCACAGCUUCCUGCAGCACCACUCGGACAAGCACCGCCCACCCAGUGCUGAGCUCUACAGCAACGCCCUGCCCACGGGGCUCCCUCUGCCCAGGUAGGAGGAGGCAGGCGCCUGCACAGCCCCCUUGCCCUUGCUCCUGCAGGGGGCAGCUGGGGCCCUGGGGAGGGGGCAGAGUCACUCCUGGUGACUCUUUCUCAAGUCAGGACCAUAGACCAUAGACCAGGAAAGGCCAGUAGUGAUGGGGAUAGUGCUGGGCUCUGCUGCCUCCUGCUACCUGCCCCAGUGUGCCAGGCCCUGUGCUCGAGCCCUGUGCUUGAGACCCCUGACCCCACAGCCCUGUGUCCAGGGUGUCGUGGUCUCCUGCCUUAGGGACACUGUGGGC